GACUCGUGCAGCUGAUGACUCUUAUAAGGCCCGUGCAGCUGAGAGAGCCCCUUAUUUUCUUUCUCUUGCGUUCAGAAGGGGAACAAAGAUGUGUCCUUUUAGCUUCUCAGCUGGAUAAGAGGGAAGGGUGAUUUCACUUUUAAAGGCAUGUUUAUCCAUCUCUCUGCUUCCUGUUGGAGAUGAUCCGUUCCCUCAGCAAUAGUGCAGAAGCGUACCACCGACAGCGACACUACAGCUUAGGGCAAGUGUGACCAGCCAGGCAUUUCGCCAAGCAACGCAGCAAGGAAUUCCCAGCACUGCAUCUCUGCGUGCACGACGCACCUGCAGAUACACGUGCAAGAGGGGCCACCUCCUGCCUUCAGGCAGAGGCAUACCGCUCCCACUGAGGGCCAUGGCAAACAUUUGUAAACUGAGUUUGACGAGUCUCAGUCUAGCUCCCAGGAGACAGGCAUCCCCAUCACUAAACUUCCAGCACCACGGGCAGUGCUAGUGGGCCCUGCCUGACCGUCUCUCCCCUACUGGCUGCAGGAGCAGCCCCUCUGGAUCAGGAGAGAGGUGUAGGGAAUGGCACCUGGCACUGGAAUUAUCCCACAGCUAAAGAGAGGCCCCAUUCCCCAGUCUGCCACCUUUCCCCAGCACGUAAUUGGCAUGAGCACCUGAGCAGUCACCUGGCCUCUCCUGCAGCCAGCUGGUCGUGCUUCCAAGUUGGCAGGAGCCUGCAGCCAGCUCUGGAAAUAGUUGGCAAUGGUGAAGGGAGGGGUUGUGGGAGGGAAGAUCUUACACUUCUGCAUUCUCCGCAGCUUUGUUUCACUACUGUGGGAAAAGAGAUUAGGGCAGGCUGGCAGCCAGGGGUUAGCAGAUAAGUGAGUGUUAGCAUUGGAUAGGCCAUCUGGAUCAGUUCCAGCACAGGGCCUAGCAAUCUCUCUCAGACCAAAUCUGAAACCAACCAGCAGGCCUUGCAGGGGGCCAAGCCAGAGAGGACGGGGGAAGCACCCUGGCAGGCUGGCAAAUCCAUGGCCAGGCAGCUAAAAGUGCCUUUCCCCUGGGCUGCCUGGCCAGUCCUCUGCCCCUUUCUCAAUCUCUCUCCCUCUGAUUUCCCAAAACUAUCGAGAGAGUCGAAGGGGGGCUGGGUUCUGGGAAAGUGACAAUGGGCAGACAGGGUAGAAAGUGCUCUAAUGAGUUUCUGUCAGUCACCCAGACACAUGAUUGAUGGCUCAGUGUGCAGCUACUGAGCAUUGGGGAUUAAGUGCACAUGUUAUGUCAAUUUCCGACUCCCGUUCUCUCUUUGUUUAAAGAGACAGUCUCUCCUUCCCUUGCCCCUUCCCCACCAGUGCCACAGGCAGGACCAUUAACUUCAUCUUAAGCCCUGCUCAGAGGCUGCAGGUUCUCUUUUUAUGCCCCCAUGGGCUUGACAACAUGCCAGGCCUUAGUGGGGGCACUGCCCUUAAUUUUGACUGGGUAGAGGGUGCCUCUCAGUGGGGCUGCACCAGUGAUCCUGAGGGUUAUUGCAGGAGCUAGCUGCAUGCAACCACCUUGCUGUAAGCAGCUAUAGGGCACUUCUCAUCUGUCAACCUCUGUGUGCUGGGUCAGGAUUGUUACCACUAGGGAAAGCCAGGCCAGCUUAUGCCUCUGUUUUAGCCCACAGAGGGGAGAAGAAGCUGGAGAAUUGGCCAGGAUGAAUAUCUGAGCUCCUAACAAAUCCAUGAGCUGGGGACACUACGAUUUCACAAUUUCCCCUGUGUACUCUGGGGGAGCCAGACUAGAACCCUGGGCUGAUAGUACCAUAAACACAGGCCAUAGUCACUUGUGCUAGGGGAGCUUUCCCUCAGCUGGCAGCAGCAGGUCCUUUAUGUGCUUGUGGCUGAUUAUCAGAGGGCCUGAGAGAAGUAGCAUCCUUCCUUCCCCUUGCCCCCAGCUCCAUGGAGUCCCCUUCCACGCAGAUGGGGCUCUGCAGUUCCUGGGGCAGUGGCUGUACAAGGAGGGUGUGGAGCUGGGGGGUAUCCUCUGACCUCAGAGCUAGCCUCUUGUCAGCCCAGCAAGGACUUUCCUGGUUGGAUUCCACUCCCUGCCCUGCCCCCCAUCCCCAAGAAGUGGGCAUGGGGCAAUGGCUUGUGGGAACCAGUGACAGCCUGUCUGCCCUGGGGGCGGUGCAAGGGCUAUCAGUGAAGGGCAUGGUAUAAAUGCCUAGAGAGAAACAAGAGCUGAAUGGGGAGAAUAUACUCAAGUGGCACCCUGAAACCUCGCUGGAAAUGGUCCCCAGCACAUGUGACUCAGGCAUUGCAGCUGGCACAUGCAUGUGACUCACACAUGUCAUCUGACACAUGCAUGUUCAACUCAGGGCUGAUAGGUAGCAGGCAUGUGUGCAAACAGGGCCCAACACCUGACAUAUGUGGGUGACUUGGCUGCCACACAUGGCCUGUGUGCAUGAAUCAGGCGUGAAGUGUUGUGCACGUGUGCAACUCAGGCAGGCUGUCUGGUGUGUGUGCAUGACACAGGUGUGACACUUGGCACAAUUAUUCCUUUUAGACACCUGUGGUUGGCAGAGGAAAGUGGCUGAUGGGGGAACAGUGCCUGGAAUGGAUUCUCUGGGGUGAAGCAGGGUCACUGUGCAAACGCAUGUGCCCCAGUAUCAGACAUACCAAUGCCAGGGCCUUCUCCCCUGAAGCUACUGGCAGAUCUGGCCCCUUCAAAACUCCUCUCCCCUGGGGUGGGGUUCGAGGCUGCACAAGUAGCAUCGCAGGAUUCAAAUGUGCUUAUUGCAAAUAUGUGUCUUUGUGUUUGAGGAUGAUGUGAGGUCUCCACUGGCCUGUGUUUAUGGGUGCCUGGCUGGCUGAUUGCUUGCAUAUGGGUAGAGGUGUCUGGGCCGGUUUGCAGGAGAGGAUGUGAGGAUGUUUGCAUGGAUGUUCACUGGAGGAGAGAGGGUGGUAAUAGUUGGUUGUGACCCUGCUGUGGUGUCUGGUUUCACCCAGUCCAAGUGGUGUCCUGCCCAGUCUUGCAGGAAAUGCCGAUGGUUAUUAUUAGCAGCCAGCGAGUAGCUGUCUGCAGAGUGUUGAUGCAAUGCAGUCUGGGAAGAAUUCAGAGUCGCAAUUGCAUGGGGGGGAGAAAGAGAGAGGCAGGCAGGACUGGACACCAUCGGACAUCUGUGACUAAUACACAGUGUACAAUGUGGCCAGGAGAUUCCACCUCCAGAGACGGUGUCACAGCCAAUUUCCCAAGCAGGGAGAAAUUUGCCUUCAAGGCAGUGAUGUCUGGGCCAAGGCCAAGAAGUCUACCUGGGUAAGCACAGGACUGGGAAUCAUCGGUCUAAUAUCGCCUUUGCCACAGCCUCGCUGUGUAGCAUUUGAUGAGCCAGCUGAUCACUGCCCACAGUUAAUAAUUGCCCAGCCCUUUGGAAUUGCUAAUUAUGGGCUGAGUUUGCUGAAAAGUGCUUGUGUGUUUGCACACCCAAGUUGUGUAUUUUUACAUCAGCUGUUAGCUCACACAGUUAUUAGGGUUACACGCACAAUCACAUGAACUGUACACACACAGUUUUCCAUGCACAAAUGCACAAGCACUUUUCUGAGAAAAUGGCCCUAUUUAUUGCAUACAAAAUAGGACAAACCCUGACUUUCCUGUCUCCCUCCACUGGCAGAGUCUGUCCUGCUCUGACCCUGUCUCUCACCAGAUGUUCCACACCCUCCUCACCCUCACAAACCUCCUUUCCUCACCACAUUAUAGUUAUAAGGUUUAACGUCAUCCGCACCUUCCACUAGAGUCCCACCAGGUGUAGUCCCACCAGGUGUUUAACUUCAUACCUGCUGUUCCUUCACUCUCUCCACCACCAGUCGUCUCUGAGCGUGUGGGCAAGACCCACCAGACAGAUACCUGGGAAAGAAUUCUCUGGAGUAACUCAGAGCUCUCCCCAUCUAGUGCCCUGUCUCAAGCUGUUGGGGUUUUUGCUACAGGCAGUUGCCGAUGGGCUACUGUAGGCCAUUGUAGGCAGCCCCAUCAGACCAUCCCCUCCAUAAACUUACCACGCUCAGUCUUGAAGCCAAUUAGGUUUUUUGCCCCCACUGCCCCCCU